GACAGAGGGUGCAAACGUUGUUCGGAAUUACUGGGCGUAAAGCGAGUGUAGGCGGUUCGGUAAGUCGGAUGUGAAAGCCCCGGGCUCAACCCGGGAAGUGCACUCGAUACUGCCGAGCUAGAGUAUCGGAGAGGUUGGUGGAAUUCUCGGUGUAGAGGUGAAAUUCGUAGAUAUCGAGAGGAACACCGGUGGCGAAGGCGGCCAACUGGACGAAUACUGACGCUGAGGUGCGAAAGCGUGGGGAGCAAACAGG
rnacentral:rRNA from 1 species